CUAGUACUCCCUCCGAUCCUAAAUUCUUGUCUCAAAUUUGCCCAAAGAUGAAUGUAUCUAUUCUUAAAAAGCGUCUAGAUACAUGUAAUAUUUCGACAACAAUUUAGGAUCAGAGGGAGUAACAU
rfam:Brachypodium distachyon strain Bd21 chromosome 2, whole genome shotgun sequence.